AGCAGCCGCGGUAAUUCCAGCUCCAAUAGCGUAUAUUAAAGUUGUUGCAGUUAAAAAGCUCGUAGUUGAAUUUCGGGGUUAGUAGGUUGGUCAUGCCUCUGGUAUGUACUGGUCUCACUGAUUCCUCCUUCCUGAUGAACCUUAAUGCCAUUUAUUUGGUGUUUUGGGGAAUUUGGACUGUUACUUUGAAAAAUUAGAGUGUUUAGAGCAAGCUAACGCUUGAAUACAUUAGCAUGGAAUAAUGAAAUAGGGCGUUCGAUCCUAUUUUGUUGGUUUCUAGGAUUGACGUAAUGAUUAAUAGGGAUAGUUGGGGGCAUUAGUAUUCAAUUGUCAGAGGUGAAAUUCUUGGAUUUAUUGAAGGCUAACUACUGCGAAAGCAUUUGCCAAGGAUGUUUUCAUUAAUCAAGAACGAAAGUUAGGGGAUCGAAGACGAUCAGAUACCGUCGUAGUCUUAACCAUAAACUAUGCCGACUAGGGAUCGGAUGAUGUUAAUUUUUAAUGACUCA
rnacentral:rRNA from 1 species